UCCCGUUGACUUUCAGAAUUG
rnacentral:piRNA from 1 species